rnacentral:rRNA from 1 species
ACCCAGACUCCUACGGGAGGCAGCAGUGGGGGAUAUUGCACAAUGGGGGGAACCCUGAUGCAGCGACGCCGCGUGGGUGAAGGAGUGCUUCGGCAUGUAAAGCCCUAUCGGCAGGGAAGAAGCAAGACGGUACCUGGCUAAGAAGCCCCGGCUAACUACGUGCCAGCAGCCGCGGUAAUACGUAGGGGGCGAGCGUUAUCCGGAUUCACUGGGUGUAAAGGGAGCGUAGACGGCCAAGCAAGCCAGGGGUGAAAGCCCGGGGCCCAACCCCGGGACUGCCCUUGGAACUGCAUGGCUGGAGUGCGGGAGGGGCAGGCGGAAUUCCUGGUGUAGCGGUGAAAUGCGUAGAUAUUAGGAGGAGCACCAGUGGCGAAGGCGGCCUGCUGGACGACAACUGACGGUGAGGCGCGAAAGCGUGGGGAGCAAACAGGAUUAGAUACCCUGGUA